AUUGAACGCUGGCGGCAUGCCUUACACAUGCAAGUCGAACGGCAGCACGGGAGCCAUCCUGGUGGCGAGUGGCGAACGGGUGAGUAAUAUAUCGGAACGUGCCCAGUAGUGGGGGAUAACUGCUCGAAAGAGCAGCUAAUACCGCAUACGACCUGAGGGUGAAAGGGGGGGAUCGCAAGACCUCUCGCUAUUGGAGCGGCCGAUAUCAGAUUAGCUAGUUGGUGGGGUAAAGGCCUACCAAGGCAACGAUCUGUAGUUGGUCUGAGAGGACGACCAGCCACACUGGGACUGAGACACGGCCCAGACUCCUACGGGAGGCAGCAGUGGGGAAUUUUGGACAAUGGGCGCAAGCCUGAUCCAGCAAUGCCGCGUGCAGGAAGAAGGCCUUCGGGUUGUAAACUACUUUUGUCAGGGAAGAAAUCCUCUAGGUUAAUACCCUUGGGGGGAUGACGGUACCUGAAGAAUAAGCACCGGCUAACUACGUGCCAGCCGCCGCCGUAAAAC
rnacentral:rRNA from 1 species